CAGUAGCCGCGGGAAUACGGAGGGUGCAAGCGUUAAUCGGAAUUACUGGGCGUAAAGCGCACGCAGGCGGUCUGUCAAGUCAGAUGUGAAAUCCCCGGGCUUAACCUGGGAACUGCAUUUGAAACUGGCAGGCUAGAGUCUUGUAGAGGGUGGUAGAAUUCCAGGUGUAGCGGUGAAAUGCGUAGAGAUCUGGAGGAAUACCGGUGGCGAAGGCGGCCACCUGGACAAAGACUGACGCUGAGGUGCGAAAGCGUGGGGAGCAAACAGGAUUAGAUACCCCGGUAGUCCCUGUCUCUUAUAA
rnacentral:rRNA from 1 species